GACACCCGAGGCCUCUGCCUGUGUCACGGCCCGGAAUCUGCCAGCGGAGACAGGCCCACGGCGGCUCGGUCAGGGACAACGGUAGCAGGGGUGAACUCGGUGGAUGAAAAUGGAAACAAAAGAAAGCUGAUUCUGUAGGAAGGUGUGAGUAAAGGAGUAGAAUUCAAAUACAAUCUAUUCCUGUGCAUGUUGGGCAUUAUAGCAGGUAUAUAUGUGUUAUCAAGGAGUCUGCACUUCAUAGUCACUGAAAGACAUAGCUGUUAGGACAGCCAACUUUAUAUUGCUAACUGUGAAAAGUCCAGAAAGUCUCUACCUCCACUUUUGCUAAAAAUUUAUUACCUCAACUCAUCCUAUGGCUACACCAAAUCACAACGGAGGAACAGCAAUACAACCGUGUGCCAGUAGAACAACUGGAAAGAUAACACAGGAGCAAGCGAAGGUGCAGAGGCCAACGCGGAGGGUGCUCGUACCCAUCCAUGAUCAUGGCGUCCAGGGUGGUUUCUCCGCGUUCAUCGGGACUUCCUCCAAAGCCCACAGUGCCAUCACACUGUUCCUUCUCGCACUCACCACAGCCGCU